GACGAACGCUGGCGGCGUGCUUAACACAUGCAAGUCGAACGGAAAGGCCCUGCUUUUGUGGGGUGCUCGAGUGGCGCACGGGUGAGUAACACGUGAGUAACCUGCCCUUGACUUUGUGAUAACUUCAGGAAACUGGGGCUAAUACCCGAUAGGAGCUCCUGCUGCAUGGUGGUGGUUGGAAAGUUUCGGCGGUUGUGGAUGGUCUCGCUGCUUACCAGCUUGUUGGUGGGGUAGUUGCUUACCAAGGCUUUGACGGGUAGCCCGCCUGAGAGGGGGGACAGCCACCAGGGGACUGAGAGACGGACCAGUCGGCUACGGGAGGCAGUGGGGGGGAAUAUUGCAGAACGGGGCGGAGCCUGAUGCGACAGCGCCGCGUGCGUGAUGACGGGCUUCGGGUUAUAAACCGCUUUCGCCUGAGACGAAGCGGUAGUGACGGUAAUGGGUAAAGAAGCACCGGCUAACUACGUG
rnacentral:rRNA from 1 species